GGUAAUUGAGGGACCCGCACAAGCAGCGGAGCGUGUGGUUUAAUUCGUUGCUACACGAAGAACCUUACCUGGGUUUGACAUAUAGGUUGUAGGGAACUGAAAGGGACCGACCCUUCGGGGAGCCUAUACAGGUGUUGCAUGGCUGUCGUCAGCUCGUGUCGUGAGAUGUUCGGUUAAGUCCGCUAACGAGCGCAACCCUCGUCGUAUGUUAUAUGUGUCAUACGAGACUGCCGGUAAAAGCCGGAGGAAGGUGAGGAUGAUGUCAAGUCAGCAUGACCUUUAUAUCCAGGGCUACACACACGCUACAAUGGUCUGUACAAUGGGUAGCCAAGCCGCGAGGCGGAGCCAAUCCUGAAAGCAGGCCUCAGUUCAGAUUGCAGUCUGCAACUCGACUGCAUGAAGCCGGAGUUGCUAGUAACCGCAGGUCAGCAAUACUGCGGUGAAUACGUUCCCGGGUCUU
rnacentral:rRNA from 1 species